rnacentral:rRNA from 1 species
AGCUUGCUAGAUUGAUGGCGAGUGGCGAACGGGUGAGUAAUACAUCGGAACGUGCCCUGUAGUGGGGGAUAACUAGUCGAAAGAUUAGCUAAUACCGCAUACGACCUGAGGGUGAAAGUGGGGGACCGCAAGGCCUCAUGCUAUAGGAGCGGCCGAUGUCUGAUUAGCUAGUUGGUGAGGUAAAGGCUCACCAAGGCGACGAUCAGUAGCUGGUCUGAGAGGACGAUCAGCCACACUGGGACUGAGACACGGCCCAGACUCCUACGGGAGGCAGCAGUGGGGAAUUUUGGACAAUGGGGGCAACCCUGAUCCAGCAAUGCCGCGUGUGUGAAGAAGGCCUUCGGGUUGUAAAGCACUUUUGUCCGGAAAGAAAUCGCACUUACUAAUAUUAGGUGUGGAUGACGGUACCGGAAGAAUAAGGACCGGCUAACUACGUGCCAGCAGCCGCGGUAAUACGUAGGGUCCAAGCGUUAAUCGGAAUUACUGGGCGUAAAGCGUGCGCAGGCGGUUGUGCAAGACCGAUGUGAAAUCCCCGGGCUUAACCUGGGAAUUGCAUUGGCGACUGCACGGCUAGAGUGUGUCAGAGGGGGGUAGAAUUCCACGUGUAGCAGUGAAAUGCGUAGAGAUGUGGAGGAAUACCGAUGGCGAAGCAGCCCCCUGGGAUNACACUGACGCUCAUGCACGAAAGCGUGGGGAGCAAACAGGAUUAGAUACCNUGGUAGUCCACGCCCUAAACGAUGUCAGCUAGUUGUUGGGGAUUCAUUUCCUUAGUAACGUAGCUAACGCGUGAAGUUGACCGCCUGGGGAGUACGGUCGCAAGAUUAAAACUCAAAGGAAUUGACGGGGACCCGCACAAGCGGUGGAUGAUGUGGAUUAAUUCGAUGCAACGCGAAAAACCUUACCUACCCUUGACAUGCCACUAACGAAGCAGAGAUGCAUUAGGUGCUCGAAAGAGAAAGUGGACACAGGUGCUGCAUGGCUGUCGUCAGCUCGUGUCGUGAGAUGUUGGGUUAAGUCCCGCAACGAGCGCAACCCUUGUCUCUAGUUGCUACGAAAGGGCACUCUAGAGAGACUGCCGGUGACAAACCGGAGGAAGGUGGGGAUGACGUCAAGUCCUCAUGGCCCUUAUGGGUAGGGCUUCACACGUCAUACAAUGGUGCAUACAGAGGGUUGCCAAGCCGCGAGGUGGAGCUAAUCCCAGAAAAUGCAUCGUAGUCCGGAUCGUAGUCUGCAACUCGACUACGUGAAGCUGGAAUCGCUAGUAAUCGCGGAUCAGCAUGCCGCGGUGAAUACGUUCCCGGGUCUUGUACACACCGCCCGUCACACCAUGGGAGUGGGUUUUGCCAGAAGUAGUUAGCCUAACCGCAAGGGGGGCGAUUACCACGGCAGGGUUCAUGACUGGGGUGA